UGAAGGAAAGUUCCCUUUGGCUAAAACAAUGAAUUAUGAGCUUGUAGAAAACUGAAAUUUAAGAGUCAAAGAGCAGAACCAAAUAAUUACACACCUGCUCCAUCUAAAUAAGAGCCAAUUCUUAACAAAAUGGUUGCCUUUUCCAAUCCAGACAAUAUAGUUAAAAGCCACUAAUUCAGAGGCUAGUCCACCUGGAAAGUGAACUAGAAACAUAUAUUAUUGUUAAAAUUAGUGGGAAAACAAACAACAUCUAAAUUUGUGCCAAAAUUUAAUUUUUUUUAAUGUACUGUAACCUUAUUCCUACCUAGUACAGUAAGGAUCUCUUGCAAUAAAAAUUAUAUUCCUGGAAUUUUUCUAAGUAAAAAAGUUUUCAAAUUGGUAUUUCAAAGAUUCAAUAAGUUUAAGAAGAAAAAAAAAAAGGAAAAACAUCUUCAUUUUGUAAAAUGGGAUUCAAUCCAGAGUUAACCAUAAAACAAGCACUACAUUUCUAAAAGCUCUUAAAAAAAAAAAAAAAAAAAAAAAAAAUUCCAGAAUAGUUAACUAUCUUCUGGGCCUUCAAGAAUACAGCUCAGACUCCUAAUAAAGCAGUCAUGGAUCAUGAAACUGAAUUGGCUAAGUUCAAAUCACAAACCCAUCACUUACAACUGUGUAACUCUUAGCCUUUCUGUGCCUCAUAAGAUUUGUAAAAUAAGGAUUAAUAAUAGUACCUACCUCAAAAUGUUGAGAAGGAGGGAGAGGGAAAGAAAAAAGAAGUAACUACUUGCCCUAAAUCACAGAGCUAGGAGACCAGAGGGCCAGAAUUCAAAACAGUCUAAUUCCCAAGUCUUUAUGCUUUAACACUUUUUUUUCUGCUAGACUUCCUCAAAGCAUGAGAUGUGCUUCAUUUUCUGAAGGAUGUGUUUAUGUACAAGUGCAACUGGUGUAAAUCCUUCUUACUAUAUCAGUCCCUCAAGUCUGUUCUCCUAAAACAAGAACCCAGAAACACAAUCAUCACAAGAAGUUCUACAGUAUAUGACGUAACUGUCUUUGUUGAAACUCAUUUACCUUUAUUACUAAAAAAUUAUUGUCAUCUAGAAUUUUCAUUUAUAUUAGUUUUAUUUAUUGUCCUGAGGAGAAUUUUUCCUGUCAAGUGGUAAAGGAAAUGUUCAUCAUUUAUGAAUAAAAUGUUAUUUAAUCUAAUGAGUUAAA